GCUUCUUCUACCUCUAGUCAAACAAAUUUGCAGAUGCCAAAAUGCACCAGUCUGUUCCUAAGGAAAGCGGGUCAAGCUUGACUGAGCUAUGAAAGGAAGUAUGGGCACAAAAGAGAUUCAUUUAACGGAUGAUAAAAAUAAUGUGUCUGAGUUGCCAAGAUGUCCAAACUG